AGAGUUUGAUCCUGGCUCAGGACGAACGCUGGCGGCGCGCCUAAUACAUGCAAGUCGAACGGGUCCCCUUCGGGGGGCCAGUGGCGGACGGGUGAGUAACACGUGGGUGACCUGCCCUGAAGUGGGGAAUAACGCUGCGAAAGCAGCGCUAAUACCGCAUACGCUUAGCGCUUCACUGCGCUAAGUAAAGCCUUGUGCGCUUCAGGAGGGGCCUGCGGCCGAUUAGCUAGUCGGAGGGGUAACGGCCCACCGAGGCGACGAUCGGUAGCUGGUCUGAGAGGAUGAUCAGCCACACUGGGACUGAGACACGGCCCAGACUCCUACGGGAGGCAGCAGUAAGGAAUCUUCCACAAUGGGCGCAAGCCUGAUGGAGCGACGCCGCGUGCGCGAAGAAGCCCUUCGGGGUGUAAAGCGCUUUUCCCAGGGAUGAAGGUCUGACAGUACCUGGGGAAGAAGCCUCGGCUAACUACGUGCCAGCAGCCGCGGUAAUAC
rnacentral:rRNA from 1 species